UCACCAACGCAUUUUUGUCUUAGUUAGCUGUGGAGCACAUGAAAACUCCACAAUUACGCAUGCUUAGGUGGGAGUAGUACUAGGAUGGGUGACCUCCUGGGAGGUCUCUACGUGGGCAAC
rfam:Helianthus annuus linkage group 4, whole genome shotgun sequence.